GCUCAUAUUUCUGAUUAAUUUGUGAGGUAAUAUCCUUGCACAUUUUUUCUCUAUGAAUUUCCUGCUGUUUCAAGAUCUGAUUUAAUGCAGAUUUUUUUUUAUUCAUUUUUUGCCAAGUAUGAUCAUUACACACCCCGCUCCCCUCCAAUCUUCAUUUACUGUCCUCUGAGAAGCAAAUGAGAACGCAAGGUGUUGCAGGGAAUAAAUAUGAGUCUAGGGAAUUUAAAAACUGAUUGGUUCUAGUGUGCUGUUAGUGGGAGUUUUUUUCCUCUCCCUCCAACAGGAAGUGAUUUGCGGUGUUCAGCAAGCCUUUUGUUGAGAAGGUUUUCUCAGAUCAGUGAGUCAUGCUUCAGCUCUGAGCCGGCAGGCAGCAGCCAGCAGAGAGUAUUUGCUCUUUCCUUGCAGUGUCCGUGAUCAUCAGCGACAUUCAUCUCUUUUCUGUUUCAGUUUUGGGGAUUUUUUUUUUUUUUUCUUUUUGAGAAGCCGCUCUAAGAAGAAAAAGCAGGAGCAUCGCAGCUUGAAAAACUGCACCCCAAAAACUGGCAGGGUUGGUUUUUUUUUAUCCUCGACUUCUUGUGCUACAGUGUUGUGUUUCCACAGAUUUGGUCUCUAACGGAUUGUAUUUCUGCUCUGGAUUUUAUUGAGAAACGAUUGGACUUUGGUGACAGCAACAGCUCUGCACAUUGAACCGCCACUGUAAACUCAACAGAGAGGAAAAAAAAAAUUACAGUCAGGUGGCCUGUGAUUGCUGAGAGGCGUUCGCUGCCUGUGCUACUGCUGCUAUGUUACAGGAGAGGGUUAUCAGCGCGAUUCGGCCACGUCUGCCUGCACGCCUGUGAAGGAGGCAGGCUGUGUGUGUUGGUUGGUUGGUGGAGAGAAGAGGAGCGAGCUAUAGAGGGAAGGGUAUGCUUCACCGUACCAAGUAUAACCGCUUCAGGAAUGAGUCAGUAACAUCUGUCGAUGAGCUUCUCCACGGCCUGUCCAUGAACCCCAAGGUCUCGGCCUCUUCCCAGUCUGCUGCCGAGACAUCCUUCGCACCCCCAAGUGAGGUCCAGCCCUCAUCCACCGCUGCCGUCCCUUCCAGCAACACAACCAGCCACGGCUCAGAGCAUCUGGAGGAUGGAGGCACCACCCUCUGCACCCUCAUCAACAAGGUCUCCGGCCUGAAAUUCAGCAACUCGGGCAGCCUGCUUGGCAUCAAGGGUCUACCCUCGGCCGUCAAGGACCUGGCCGUGUCCAAGCUGCAAGGGGGUGGGGGUGCGGGCUCCAGCCCCAGCAGCGUGGCGGCGGCAGCAGCAGCAACAGCCGUCUCUGGUGUGGGAGGGUCUCAGUGCAGCUCCCAUUCAACCUCCUGCACACAGUUGGAGACAGCUGUCAACAUGAGCAAGAAGAGCAAACUGGACGAUCUCCAGCCUAGAGGAGACGAUUGGAAUCCAGGUGGGGGUGGUGGACUGGUGAGCAAGCCCUCCAGAGGAUGGCUGCACUCGAAUGAGAAGAUAUCUGGCCCAGGAGUCACAUACGUUGUGAAGUAUCUGGGCUGCAUAGAAGUCCUACGAUCGAUGAGAUCCUUGGAUUUCACUACAAGGUCACAAAUAACAAGGGAAGCUAUCAGCCUGGUGUGUGAAGCAGUUCCUGGGACCAAAGGAGCGCUGCGGAAAAGAAAGCCACCAUCCAAAGCUCUAUCCAACAUUUUGGGCAAGAGUAAUCUCCAGUUUGCUGGCAUGUCUAUCAACCUGAAUAUCUCCACUAGUAGCCUCAACCUAAUGACCCCCGACUGCAAACAGAUCAUUGCCAACCAUCACAUGCAGUCUAUCUCUUUUGCAUCAGGUGGAGACCCUGAUACAACGGAUUAUGUUGCCUAUGUAGCAAAGGACCCGGUCAAUAGAAGAGCAUGUCACAUCCUUGAAUGCUCUGACGGGCUCGCUCAGGAUGUUAUCAGCACCAUCGGCCAGGCGUUUGACCUUCGCUUCCAGCAGUACCUGCAGUGUCCCUCAAGCAAGAUGUCCUCAGUCCAUGACAGAGUAUUAAACAUGGAGGAGUUGGCAUGGACAGAGGAAGAAGAGGAGUCAACAGAACAUCCUUAUUAUAACAACAUCCCCGGCAAAAUGCCACCCCAAGGAGGCUUUAUUGAUACUCGACUGACGAAUCAGAAUGCAGCAUCUGAAGGAGGCCAGACUGGUCCGGGCUCGGUGGAUCAGACGUACUACCAGGGACGGCAUUGUGAAAACUGGGCUGAUGAAAGGAAAGCCAUCUUCCUGCAGCAGGGAUCUUUUGAUAUCAGCAGUCUGCCAGAGAAUAAAGGUCAGACGCCAAAAGCAGCGGAGAUGCCCAUGUAUGUGAACACCCAGCAGAUUGAUGCCCAGGUGCUUGCAGCUCUCCAGGCAGAAGCAGAAAAUGCCACAAAGGGCAUAGUAGAGGCAGGCAAAGAGAGCCCGCAGAAGGACCUGUUUGACAUGAAGCCUUUUGAGGAAGCCAUUCAGUCCCAGUCCCAGCCACUGGCCCCGGGGCAGUCCCAGACUCAAGUGUCCAACCUUCAGAAGGCAGCUUCUGUUGACAACUCGAGCCCUCUCCUUGUGCGAUCUUUGGCUUCCCGCGCGCAAGAGGAGCUGGAAGGUCAGACGUGGUACCAUGGCAAAAUGAGCCGCCGUGAUGCUGAGAAACUGCUUAAGAGUGAUGGGGACUUUCUUGUCCGCACAAGCACUACCAACCCAGGGUCCUACGUUCUGACUGGUAUGCACAAUGGACUUGCCAAGCAUUUACUGCUUGUGGACCCUGAAGGGACGGUACGGACAAAAGAUCAUAUAUUUGACAGCAUUAGCCACCUCAUUGGCCAUCACCGUGACAACAAUUUGCCAAUUGUCUCAGCUGGGAGUGAACUCUGUCUCCAUCAGCCUGUUGAAAGGAAAUUGUGAUGCUUGAAAUGCCUGAUGGGAAGCAGAGGGCCUUUAAAUGUCCUCUCCUGGAACUGGAAGAUACCUACAAAAGGUUCAAUGUGCUCAACACUGACCUGCUUUACUGGAGUCACUGGAGUACUCAACAUUUGUUAAGGAUUAAGGAAAACUAUUUAUAGAAUUGCUAUUAUUUUGUUGUGAUGACUGAAAUGCUAUAUUUUUGAGAAGAAAAAUUGGUGCAUUUGGACUUAAUACUUUGAUUUGGUGUUUAAAGAAACAAUAAAGCGACAAAUUGUUCUUGUAGUUUAGAUGAAGUGCAAAUAAAACCUCAAAGAGGCGAGAAGAAUAUUUUAAAAUAAAACUCUAAACUAAGUUUUGUCUGUCAAGCACAACCAUAUUUCUACUGAAAGUGUUGACUCAGUGGUUGAAGAAUCAGAAAAGGCUCUUUUAAAUAAAUUCUAAUAGGAAAAAAAAUGCCCUGAAACUGACCAUUAGUGUGACAGCUUGAUUUAUUAGUCUCCAUAUGAAAGCUACUUUUGUUGGAGAUUGAAGCUGAAUGUGUUGUCACAGUGUCGGGGAGCAAACGGACAUCUUUUCAUACUGCUGUCAAUGGCUUUAGAGAUCAGCCUUUUUUAUAAUUAUAAAGCAUUUCCUUGUGUCACUGCAGCCGCAUGACUUCAAAUCAAUUGUUCUCGUGGCCGUGUUCGUAGACCUUGAUUCCCCUUUAUUUGAAAGGAGGUGCUUGUGUAUGCUGACACUGUAAAAAAAAAAAAAUAUAUAUAUAUGUAUAUUUCUGCUUUUUCAACCAGUGGUUUGUUUUGAAUUGGUUUUCUCUGACUUCUUUUACGUGUUUCGUCGGUGAUUAGUUUUUGGUGCUUGAUUCAUACAGUUUAAUAUCCUCCCAUUUUAAAUGAACACGCUUUGCUCUUUGGGUGAACUUUUUAAAAAGGGUUUCUGUUUCUUGAAUGAUCACAAAUGAAUAGCACAAUCAGAGAUCUGUUUCAGUCGUACUAGAGGAGUGAUCACUGUUUCAAGGUGUCAUUAAUGGAAAUGUUGCUUUUACAUCCACUAAGGCACAGGUGUCAAACUCCAGUCCUCGAGGGCCGCUGUCCUACAGCUUUUAGAUGUGCCACAGGUGUGGUGCAGCAGAGGCACAUCUAAAAGUUUGAGGACACCGGCCCUUGAGGACUGGAGUUUGACACCCCUGCUAAGGUUAGAACAGAUUAUUCACUUGCACUUGAAAAUACAGUUGCAUAGAUUCAGUGUGUUUAUCUUUAAUCACGACUAGGCAUGGGCUGGUCAGUGUUAAAUCUAUAAAUAGCCCUCAUUUGGACCUAUAUAUUUAGGUUUAGCUCACUCAAAACUGCCAGCUAGGUCUAAAAGUGGUUUAAGCUUACAAUUGUUUUAAAAACUCCACAAAAAGUCUGUAGAUUGUGCUAAAAUGACAGAAGCAAAUUUAAAGACAGCUUGGUUUUGUUUUAGUAUGAAUUAAUUUUAUCCUUUUUAUCAAAUGAAAUAUUAUGGUAAAAAUGUCUUCCCAAAUAUUCUGUUUUUCAGAUAAAGAGGAGUGGUAAAAACCAUGUACAUACUUGUACUUAAAUUGCAAUGUGUUUUUACUUUCAAGCAGUAGAGGGAGUACAUUCACAACGAAACCUUUUAUUGUUUAUAUCACCAGAAAUAAAGUUCAGCUCCCUUCUAAUGAAGAAAGAAGAGCUAGGAUCCUAAUUUCCAACCAGAACUGCUGCACUCUCCCACAGAGGCUGAUUAAACAGAGAUUAUGCUGUGUUGGCAGAAUAUCUGAGGCAUUUGAUGAAUUCAUUUUGUUUUGUUUUGAGGAAAGAAAAUCAGUAAUUACUUAGAAAUGAAAACCACAGCUGGUAAACCAGAAAAAUCUUGUUGACUCAUAGCUCAUUUAGUAAAGAUAUAGUUAGUAAUCUAGAUUCCCCAAAUCUAAUAAGUUCAUUCCACUGCUUUUUUUAGUCUUAGUAAAACAGGACUAUAUUCAGACUUCUAGUAAACAUAAAAAUAUAUAGGGAAAAAAGCCAAAAAAUGGUAAGGUGUGUUGUCAACAUAUAGGAAAAUACUAUGCUUCAAUUUAUUUUAUUUUAAACUGAAAGCAAGAAUUAUUCAGUCAGUUGCUAAAAUAAGCUUUAAUAAUGUCAUCUACAACAUUUUUCCAUAUGUAUGAUUUAAAAAGUAGAGAAAACAUCACUAACUUCAGUAGUAGUUGUUCAGGUGAUUAUUGUCUAGAAUAAUUUUGCCAUGUUUUAUUUUGCCAUAACAAUGGAUUCAAUUAAUCAAAUGUUGUAAAGGUAGCCAGCUUUCAGUCAGAUAUGUUGCUUGUUGCUUCCCAAUUGUUGUUUCUGAAAACUGCUUCAGAAACUGAAGUUAUGCCUUCACUUUCUCUGGUAAUGCUAGCCAGCCUAUGCCUAAUCAUAUAUAUACUUCAGCCACUAGGUGCCAUAAGAGUAGCUUUUGUUUGAGUAUUUGUUCAUUUUAGAUCAAAGUUAAUGCCAUCUGUAAACAAUUGCUCCUAUAAACAGUUCAGUGUUAGAUCUUACUAUUUCAUGAAGAAAGAAACCCAAAUUUUGAUAGGGUUAGUAGAAAUGAUCUGCAGCUGCUCUGGAAACUGCCUGUUUUUCGUUUCUUCUCUCUCUUUUGUUUCAAAUGGCUUCAUUCUUACUGUUGUCAGGACUCUGAUGGAUACCAAAUGAAUGGGGCAUUGUAUUUGAAAUGCACUCGACCACUUGAGUUGUACCAAAACAAGUACGUGUUCAAAGAGUAUGACUAGACAGAUGCAAUGUAAUAUAAUGUGCCUGUGUUUUGCUGCAAGAAGGUGUGUAUAGUACAGGAACUACACAGCAACCUGUUUGGUCAUGGACCUUUGGCAUACUAUAAAACACUUUUACUUCUUUACAUCUUUUACUUCUGCAAUGUUUGUGACUAAAUUUGAGCAAACCUGAGGACUUGCAAAAGGGAACAGUACAAAAUGUUCUAUAAAAAUAAACAACAAAGAAACAAGCAAAUUGGACAAAAUUUUGAAGGUGAAAACAGCUUCAUACUUGAAUGUAACAGACUGAACCUUAUUAGCUCUGCAAUGUAAAGAAACUACUCGACUAAAAAUGCUUGGACACUGAUGGCGUCUUUCCAGAUUUCUCUUGACUGAAAUGUGCCUUUAAUUUGUACAAAUGGUGUGUUUUUCUCUCCCAUUCUCUCCCUUCAGUGUGCAAUAGCUGAUCUUCAAUGGGGCAUGCCUGUUCACUGGAGGUUGUUUUUGCCCUGCUGCGUGUUGCUGCUUGAGACUAGUGUUCUCACUUUAUCUUGGUCUCUUUCCCUCACUAUUAAUAUGUAUUUAUAAGUGUCAUUAUUUCUGGGUUAUACAUUAAUGACAGAGGGUGUCACAGAAAAACACUAUUUCGGGACAGCUAUAUUUAAAAGUAUGAAAUAAAAACGAGUCCAAAUGAUGUUUACAGAUGUUUAAUCUUUUAGUUGUAUGGGUUUGUCAUUAUUCUGUAUGACUGUUUGGCAAUAAAAUGUGAAUGUGUA